rnacentral:rRNA from 1 species
UACGUAGGGCGCAAGCGUUGUCCGGAAUUAUUGGGCGUAAAGAGCUCGUAGGCGGUCUGUCGCGUCUGCCGUGAAAACCCGAGGCUUAACCUCGGGCUGGCGGUGGAUACGGGCAGACUAGAGGUAGGUAGGGGAGAAUGGAAUUCCCGGUGUAGCGGUGAAAUGCGCAGAUAUCGGGAGGAACACCGGUGGCGAAGGCGGUUCUCUGGGCCUUACCUGACGCUGAGGAGCGAAAGCGUGGGGAGCAAACAGG